rnacentral:rRNA from 1 species
AUUGAACGCUGGCGGCAUGCCUUACACAUGCAAGUCGAACGGCAGCACGGGUGCUUGCACCUGGUGGCGAGUGGCGAACGGGUGAGUAAUACAUCGGAACAUGUCCUGUAGUGGGGGAUAGCCCGGCGAAAGCCGGAUUAAUACCGCAUACGAUCUACGGAUGAAAGCGGGGGACCUUCGGGCCUCGCGCUAUAGGGUUGGCCGAUGGCUGAUUAGCUAGUUGGGGGGGUUAAGGCCUUCCCAGGCGGCGAUCAGUAGCUGGUGUGAGAGGGCGACCAGCCACCCUAGGGGUUGAACACCGCCCCUGCUCCUACGGGACGGCGCAGUGUGGAAUUUUGGACAGUGGGCGAGAGCCUGAUCCAGCAAUGCCGCGUGUGUGAAGAAGGCCUUCGGGUUGUAAAGCACGUUUGUCCGGAAAGAAAUCCUUGGCCCUAAUACGGUCGGGGGAUGACGGUACCGGAAGAAUAAGCACCGGCUAACUACGUG